rnacentral:lncRNA from 1 species
AGUUCAUCGCAACACUCAGCCUGUCAGUCAGGUUGUGGGAUCCCUCCUAUCCAGGAACUGUAUGCUGUUGUCCCGGUUCUGACACUUUCCCUCUGAGUCCUUGGACACCUUACCUAACCUCUUGGAAGCUCCUGUCUGUGAAGGGUGUGCACAGAGAGCUUCGGUAGCCUGCGAAGCAGCCAUUUUCACUUCCACGGAGCAGAUGCUGGCCUGGGUGCUGGAAUAUGGAAAUGAGGAAGAUCCUGCCUGAGGAUUUCAUGACAGUGCUGCGAUUACCGACGUGAGCCACUGUGCCCAGCCUCACUUUAAAAAAAAAAAAAGGUUAUGAAGCAUCUCAACACAAGACCUCCUUUGCUCAUCACAACCACCCAGUGAAGCAGGCAAGACAACAGAAACUCCCCACCUGUGAUAGAUGUGAGGCCUGAAGUCUCCCACAUACCCACGGCAGAUGCAACGCACAGCGGUGACCAAUGGUGAAGGAUCUAAAACCUGAAAAGAGGCCAAAUGAUUCCUCAAAACCACGCAAGUACGAAGUAGCAGAGCGGAUCUCAAAUCCAGGUUGCCCUGCUGAUGUCAUGCCUGACCAUAUGACUUGCUCCAGCCAAUGAAAUGUAAGCAGAAGUGACAUAUGCAGCAUGACCAGUGGAAGCUUCGAAGAGCUAUUGCCAAUUUCCACCCUCUCUCUGGAAACUGUCAUUAGGGUUAGGGAAACUGUCAUGAGAUCUGCAUAUUUUAGAUAGAGGCUGCUUGCCUUAUUUGGGCACCUAAUGAAAAAGACAUGGAGGCCAGGUGCGGUGGCUCAUGUCUGUAAUCCCAGCACUUUGGGAGGCCAAGGCGAGUGGAUCACCUGAGGUCAGGAGUUCGAGACCAGCCUGACCAACAUGGCAAAACCCCGUCUGUACUAAAAGUGCAAACACAAAGGGAACUGCGUGGCUUGUUUCUACCUGAACAUUGUCAAGUGAUUUCAUCCUUUGAAACACAGUUGUGAAGUGUGUCCAGCAGUCUGAGAACAAGAAGAAGAAGAAAAUCUAAUCCUUCAGGGUGUCUGUGUGCCAGCCCUGCUCUCAGCACUUCCCAUGUGGAACUCCUUUACUUCUCCUAACAACUCCAUGACAUGGGUUAGACUGUGAUUGUUCCCAUAUUGUUGGUAGGGAAACUGAGGCAUGCAGGUGUUACAGAGCUCUCUCAAGUGGCAAGCUUUCUGGGUGGUUACAGAGUGGCAGAGCUGGGGUAUCCCAUGAUGUCACCACACUGCUAUAUGGAAAAGAACAUUAAUCGAGCACCUACGUGCUUGAUUCUCUUAAUUCUGUGACUGAACUCUCAAAACACCCUGGAGCACUGCGUGUUUUGAAAUAUACAAAUAGUGGGAAACGAAAUCUUUGUUCUGGAUGCAGUUAUAAUUUGGAAAGCGAGGAAAUAAAUUAUAACAAGGGGAAAAAACAGACACAGAGGGAUUGAAAUGCAUAACAAUAGAGAUGAAACACGAAGAGUGAUAAAUGAAGAUUGAGUGUGCACACCUUCUGGAGGAGCCCUGAUUGAGUAUUUUAACACAGAAGUGGGUGAGAGCAAAGUUGUGUCAGAGUAAGACAAUGACACCAAGCCAGAUGGUUAUCAAAAUCCACAGGAACAAAUGAAGAGAACCAGAAAUUGCAAAUAAGAAGGACAGAGUACCAGAGAGGAGAGAGAGGUACAGAGAAUUAUGGAGGUGGCUUCCGUUGAGUAUGCAGCUAAGUAAUGAUUAAUGCAUACAUAUAAGAAACUACUGGAUGACAGAGAAAGAACCACAAGCAAUUUAAAGAAUACUACUAAAGUCAUGCCGUGUGACUUCUGAAGCUAGCUCCUAAGAAGUCCUUGCAGCUUCUGCCUGCGACUCUUAGAACACUUGCUUUGAAGGAUGCCAGAUGCUGUCUUAAAAGUCUGAGCACUCUGAAACCAUCAUGCUGUGAGGAAGCCCAAGCUAACCACAUGGGCAAAAAAGAUGCCCUCUGACUGCCACCAUUUGAGACACUCUAAUUAAGAACUGCCUCAUUGAGCCCAUGAGGCCCUGUGAAUGAUAAUAAUAAAUUGUUUUUAACCACUAUGUUUUUGGAUUUGUUAUAAGUUUAUAGAUAACAAGAAAAAGUUAUAUUAGCAUGGUAAUAAAAUUAUGGAUAUGUGUAAGUUUGGUGUUUUGUUUCUUUUUUUUUUUUACACUAAGCCUAUAUUACUGUUGUAAUUUAGGAAAUCACUUGUUUUCCUCCAGCACUUCAAUGUAAGAGUGGCACUACUUAGAAUGUACUUCUUAAGAUAUGGCU